UCGCGAAAACUUCGCAAUGGGGGCAACCCCGACGAGGGAAUUCCAAGUGCUAGCACUUUGUGUUAGCUGUUCUUCUGUCUAAAAAACAGGAGGAGUAAGGGGCGGGUAAGACGGUUGCCAGCCGCCGCGGUAAUACCCGCGCCCCAAGUGGGGGUCGAUAUUAUUGAGCCUAAAACGUCCGUAGCCGGUCUUCUAAAUCCUUGGGUAAAUCGGGCAGCUUAACUGUCCGAAGUCCGGGGAGACUGGGAGACUUGGGACCGGGAGAGGUCAGAGGUACUUCUGGGGUAGGGGUAAAAUCCUGUAAUCCUGGAAGGACCACCGGUGGCGAAGGCGUCUGACUAGAACGGAUCCGACGGUGAGGGACGAAGCCCUGGGGCGCAAACGG
rnacentral:rRNA from 1 species